rnacentral:rRNA from 1 species
CGACCGCGUGUGUGAUGAAGGUCUUCGGAUCGUAAAGCACUUUCGACCGGGACGAACAAGCAUGGCCACACCAUGCCCUGACGGUACCGGGAGAAGAAGCACCGGCUAACUCUGUGCCAGCAGCCGCGGUAAUACAGAGGGUGCAAGCGUUGUUCGGAAUUAUUGGGCGUAAAGCGCGUGUAGGCGGCUUAGCAAGUCGGGCGUGAAAGCCCUCGGCUCAACCGAGGAAGUGCACCCGAAACUGCUGAGCUUGAGUGCCGGAGAGGAUGGCGGAAUUCCCCAAGUAGAGGUGAAAUUCGUAGAUAUGGGGAGGAACACCGGUGGCGAAGGCGGCCAUCUGGACGGUAACUGACGCUGAGACGCGAAAGCGUGGGGAGCAAACAGGAUUAGAUACCCUGGUAGUCCACGCCGUAAACGAUGAGAACUAGAUGUCGCGGGUGUUGACCCCUGCGGUGUCGCAGCUAACGCAUUAAGUUCUCCGCCUGGGAAGUACGGUCGCAAGAUUA